rnacentral:sRNA from 1 species
AAAGACAUGAAGAGGAUUGGCGGCCAAAA